GAUGAACGCUAGCUACAGGCUUAACACAUGCAAGUCGAGGGGAAACGACAUCGAAAGCUUGCUUUUGAUGGGCGUCGACCGGCGCACGGGUGAGUAACGCGUAUCCAACCUGCCCACCACUUGGGGAUAACCUUGCGAAAGUAAGACUAAUACCCGAUGAUAUCUCUAGACGACAUCUGAAAGGGAUUAAAGAUUUAUCGGUGAUGGAUGGGGAUGCGUCUGAUUAGCUUGUUGGCGGGGUUAACGGCCCACCAAGGCAACGAUCAGUAGGGGUUCUGAGAGGAAGGUCCCCCACAUUGGAACUGAGACACGGUCCAAACUCCUACGGGAGGCAGCAGUGAGGAAUAUUGGUCAAUGGGGCGAGAGCCUGAACCAGCCAAGUAGCGUGCAGGACGACGGCCC
rnacentral:rRNA from 1 species